GCCUGCUAUCACAGAGCUGAUACUCGAGAAAUUGAUGGUGAAUUCAGAAUACCACUAGAAGGAAGACAAGAAUGAACAGUAUUUAAGGAUGGCUGUGUGCGCAGUACUUCCAUACAUCAUCUUGUUAAAUCUUCUUAACAACCUUAACAACAAAUGAGGAGACCAAACUGUUUCCCAAAGACAACCAGAUGCCACCACCAAUUCUCAGGAUGAAGCUGAUGCAC